rnacentral:rRNA from 1 species
UACGUAGGGGGCAAGCGUUGUCCGGAAUCACUGGGCGUAAAGCGCGCGCAGGCGGUCAUCUACGUCUGGGGUGAAAGCCCGGAGCUCAACUCCGGGAUUGCCUUGGAUACGGGAUGACUUGAGGAUCGGAGAGGCAAGGGGAAUUCCACGUGUAGCGGUGAAAUGCGUAGAGAUGUGGAGGAACACCUGUGGCGAAAGCGGCGCACUGGACCACAACUGACGCUGAGGCGCGAAAGCUAGGGGAGCAAACAGG